AUUACACAAGUUCAACAUAAGAAAAGCAACUGGGAACGAGAUUACAGGAAGUGACGUCAUUUCUCAGCGUGAGGCAAGGCGGGUCGUUUUUUUGAAUAGAUGCCGUAAGUUUUUUGUCUUUAUUUGAAAUAAUUUAGCGUUUUUAUUGAAAAUAACUGCUUAAUAUCGAUAGAUUAGUCGUUCCUCUACCUGCUGCAACCGUUUUUCUUUCUUUAUACACGAUUAAACUAUAGUUAACACGAUUUUGCUGCAUGUCGUCCCCAGCGACGGAUUAUUAUGCUUUUGUCAUUUUUCCUAGUCUAGUCCUCAUAUCACGGAACACACUGACGCCAAAUAUCAAUUGAUUAGUGCAUUCUGCGUCUAAAUACAUCUACUUCUCUUCAUAUAUCCGCUGUUUUAUUACAGGAUUCCCCCUUACUUCACGUUUGCUGAAGGAGCACAGAAUCCACGGCUACAUGCGCACACUAAGCAAUGCUAUAUUGUCCCUAAAUACGUUACCAUUUCAGAAAUUGAACUCAUUUAAUUUGACUAAUGAACUACCUCACGCGACACACCUCCUGGCCGAAGCAUUUCUUCGCAUUUCAAUGUAAAGCUCACAAGAGUGUUUUUUAAUCCAGCCUUAAUAUAACUCUACUAAAGUAGUAGGCAUUAUGGUAUAUUCCAGAAAUCAGUUUCACCUCCUUUCCCCAAUUUUUUUCAUCACUCCACUCUCACACUUAACGGCAUGACACAUCUCCCAUCCACUUACCGAUGAUUCUUUCCAAUCUUAGAAAGUUUACUCCCCCACUGAGUCUAAAUAUAUUUAUGUUGUCUGUAACUAGUAAGCAUGCCCUGCCCUAGAAAUGAAUUUCAUGUCAUUUGUUCAAUUCUUUAUUUCCAGAAAUUACAUGGUUUGUCCUACAUUCCAUCCAAGCCGUCAGCAGAAAUUAUUGCAUGUUUUAAAAAUAUUUAUUCACUGCUCAGACUAAACAUAUAUAGAGCCUACAACUAGAAAUCAAGCUGUGCUCUAGAAAUGCAUUUAAUGCCAUUUGGUAAAUUUCUUAUGUGCAGAAAUGACACGUUUGAUCCUGCACUCCACCUCCCAAGUUGUCAUCGGAAUGUUUUGCGGCGUGUCAUCUCUCCGAACCACCUGCCGAUGUUUCUUUCCAAUGUUCGAAAUAUUUUUACCUCACACACAUUCAAGAGCUCCGUUCUCCUUCAACUUCACAUAGGUGGAGAAAGAGCACUUUCAUGUACCUUCUUCCAAGCUGCAUCCUAGCCGGCUAGCCAAGGAACUAGGACAACAGAACCAUGUAACCAGCAAUUCCUGCAUCUCUUGUGUGGCAAUAUGGCAAUUUUAUUUCUAAUUCUAACCAAGGUAAACAGAUGUUUUCACAUUGUAUAUCAUUUAUUUUGAACUAUACACAUGUUUUUACAUUUCACAAUCUUAGACAACAGUUUAUCUGCACACUGAAUCCGGUACACUAAAAAAUUCAAUUAGGAUUCCUUAACUCAUACCAAUCAACAAUGUAAUGGUGUGGGGCUAAAGUUGUCUUGUAGAUAGACGCGUUAGUCAUUGGAGUCGAGGAUUUAUUGCACAGUAGCUGAAGUUGCAUUGUAGUACAGUUUUAAGCCAGUUAAGGAACUUGCUUCACCCUUGCUAAUGUUGCUGCUGGCAAAGGAAGUGUGUCAGGGAAUGGGGGAUGUGGCUGUGUAGGGCUUAGAUGGGUGCUACCAAGACUCUGUGCCCCUAUAGUGUUUCUCACGACAGAGACGGUGAUACUCGCACAGGACGGAAAGGAUGCUGGAGAGGUGGAAUGUUCUCGAUGGCGUCACAUGGUGUGUUCUUACUCCUCUAGUAGAGGAGACUUCCUCAACCUCAGGACCAUCAGGAGGAGAUGGCUUCCUCAACAUGAGUUCUGACUGGCAGUGAUGGAAUGUACAAGCGAGCGCACAUUUCUGGCUCCACGUGUGGCCACUGCCGUUACAACUGACUAACUGUCACGCCUUUGCAGGCCGCCAAAGGUCAUUUUUUUUCUUGCACGUUGCCUACAUUGUGAAACACUUGGACCAUUGUAGUGGAUGACAGGAACAUAUGAAGUCCUAUAAUUUGCGGUGUUCACUCUAGAGGUGUCACCCGAUGAAGUGUGCCGCUUUCACUAUUACGAAUAAUCUUGACUGAUUCGUAGUCCUCAAAGUUGAUAGUUUUACACUGUUGGUGUUCAUGUGGGGCAAACAGGCACCUCAGGCAUCAUUGCUGUUGUUUGACCUCUCUCUUUUAUAGACUUGGGCUGCACAAAUGGAAUCCUGUGGAUCAAACAGAUCUGGCUGUCCACUGUUGAGAUAAACCUAGUCACUUCUGAAACGAAGAAGGCCACAAAACGAGAUGAUUUGUCUUUCAACACAGUGCAUGGGUAUCAUUAUAUAUGUUCAGACUGACGACCACAAUGCAAUAUUUACUAACACCUUUUUUUUUUUCAUGUAUGUAUAUAUACAUGUGUGUGUGCUCCAUACUGCACAAUGAUUCUCACAAGGGUUCCACGUAGCUUCACAAUCUCUUAGUUUUUCUUUACAUCGAGCCAGGAGUGGAUUAAAAAUUGGUACGAUGUUAAUAUAAGCAGCACACAAAAAUAUUUCCAAAUUAGGUCCACAUGUACAAAACUGCACAACGUGAAUUGAAAAGAAUGUGGAAAAAAUGAAGAAAUUGAGCCUAUUAGAGAGCAAAAAAUACAGCACAAGUGUACAACAUGUGGAAUGAAAACACAUGCACACAUAACCAGUUCUUGAAUUGCUUGACGAUGGUACCGGGAAGGCGGUUCCACUACAACGACAUACGAGGAAGAAAUGAAUUCAGAAAUGACUUCCUUGAACAUCAGGGAAUACCCACUUUCUACAGGUGAUCGGCACGAUAUGAGAUAUAUAUAUAGCCUGCUAGACCAAAGAUUCUCUGAGGUGAUUAUUAUGAAUGAUAAUAAAUCUUGUCGAAACAAGGACUAGUUAUGUUUUGACAAGUGCAAAGUAGAAGCAGAUGGAGGAUAUGUUUCAUAGCAGUGAUACUGGCAUUGUAGUUACCAAAUAUGAACAGGCUGUCCUGCAUUGUACUGUUUCUAUUGAGUUUGAAAUGUUGAUGUAGUCGGUAUCCGACACAGAGCUGUGUCUUCCAACUUAGGAAGGGCUAGUAAUUUAUACAGUCACUAUAGUUGGAGUGGAUGAAAAAAAUUCAGAGGUGUAACCUGGAGCACAAGAUUUGUUGGUAGUGAUGUGUUCAACAUGAGGGAGCCAGGACAGGUUAGAUGAAAUGAAAAUUAUGAGGUAUUUGUAAAGUGAUACACAGAGACCAUGGUGAUACUGAUUCAAAUGGAAUGCUUUUAAUGGAAUAAGUCACAUGCACUUUAUUAGAGCGAGAAAUUAUCACCAGAAUUUGGUUCUUUUUUUGGGGGGGAGGGUAUAUUUACAUGCUUGUCACUCAAUAUUCUGCAAUCUCGCUAGAUUUUAUGGGGGGGGGGGGGGUCUGGAUAAAUCACUGAUGUAAGAUCAUUUGGAAGGUUGUUAAUGUAUAGUUAUGCUUCGCUUAUCCGGAUUUCACAUAUCUGGAAAACUUGCAUUACCGAGAACGAGCCAGCUACCAUAGGACUUGGUCCCGGUUAUCCUGGAAGAAGACCAACUUUCUGAGACAUUAGCAGGUUGACUCAGUGCAUGCUGUGGGUGUGACCAGAAUUCUGUCACACAUUACUAUUGAUUGCAAUCGGUUCCCCUUGCAUGAUUUUUUGAAGUAAUCUUUUUUUUUGUUCCCUUUUCUGGAGCUAUAAAGGAGAGUUUUAAAUUUGUCGGGUUUUCCCGGAAAGGGCUAAAGAUGGGACUGUUUGGUGGCCCAUACUUUCAAAUUGGUAAAAAUUCAUGUGCCAGGGAACAAACAAAAAAGACCCAGGGAGUAGGCAGGAGUAUCAAUUUUAAGGUUUUCCCAGAAGCUUGCUUGGUUCAGUUAUCUGGUAUCCAGAUGAAAAGGGAUGACUACUGAAGUGUCUGGAUAAUGAGACACGACUGUAUAUGAGAAAGAGAAGUGAUCCAAGGACAGAAUCUUCGCGAACUCCAGAGAGGACAGGCGUUAGACUGGAUUCAUUAUCGUUCAUAGAGACAAACUGUGAGCGAUUAGUCAAGGAAUGUAUCCAAGAUAGAAUUUUAUCAUCAAUGCCAACAUUGUGCAAUUGAUGAAAAAAAGAAAAAAAAGAGAGAGUGUGAUACGUUAUUGGAUGCCUUCGAGAAGUCAAGAAAUCUGCAGUUCGUGCAGAACUUGUGAUCCAGUGUGACAUGAAAGUCAUAAGAAAAGGGACUAGCCGCAUUUCACAACAAUUUUUUUUCUAAUACCGCGUUGAUAUGGAGAGAAGGAGGAACAGAAUUUUAGGUGUUAGAUAAUGUGCACUAGUAUUGUACAUGAAAUUAUGGGGCAAUAAUUGUUGCUCCUCUUGCACAAUGCUUGUCUCCUGAUUUAUGGAGUGGUACAGCUUGGGACAAAAGUUUGCGGAACACGGCACUGGCACAUUUCUUCAUCCGAGCGGCCCCCUGUUAGAUAUUAGGAAGAGAUCGAACAAGAAACAGGUGACCGGCUAUUCUGUUAAUUUUUCAGUAUGUGUGUCUGCUCCUUUUGGCUGCCAGGGGGUCGUCCCAACAGCUAAAUGCGACACCUCGGUGUUCCGUAAACUUUUGUCCCAAGCUGUACCACCUUUCCAGUCAUGUGGAAGAAUGAUCUCUCCAAACAACAUCAGCAAUCGGCACCAGCAUGCCUUCUGUUGAACUCCCCCUUCCAAUUUUACACUAUCUUUAUCUAUGAAUUCUAAGUCCAUUAAAAGUAUGUGAUGGUUUGA